GUCCUUUUAUGCGUGAUAUCAUUUUAAUACCGGUUUCAAAUUUGCUUUAUCUUGUUAUCCCUCGUUCAUUAAAUUAUAGGAUUCUAUUUGUUUGUAUGACUAAAUGCAGAUAUGAAAUUAUUCUUGACAGAUGAUUGUAACUAAGGUCAUGUUCUAGGUAUAAAAAAUGAUCUGCUGGAUCAUGCUCUUGCAAUAACUGAUUUCACUAUCAAGUCUACAAUCCAAUGUUGAUCUAGAAGGCAGACUCUUUAAACUUCAUUGAUGCUUUCUUGGCUGUUUUGAUCUAAUAUCUCUCUGAUGUGGUUAGUAUAAACAUAUGGUGGUAUAAUUAGUUUUUGCUUUUUUUGUGGGAUGAUAAUGUUGCAGAUAGAUGAAGACUGAAUUAGUUCACAAUUGAUCUUGGUUCUGUACGAUCUUCAAUAUUUGGGUCUCGUAGGUCUGUCUCCCAAGAGCAACGAGAAGAAAUCUGUUAACACAUUACUUCAUUAUAUGUAACAUAUGUCCAUUUUCACGGAAUGAAAGGUGACUACUAAUUACUUGUGAUGAACCAUUAUGGUGCCCCGAACUUUCUGACCAUUUGAGUUAUACUCCAGAGUCUUGAUGUUGACUGAAUUGAAAAUUUGGAGCUGUCGAGACUCGAGCUUCAUUUUUUGUGGAUUAGUGGUUAUUGAAUUUUUAUGCCUCUAGCCCAUGCUUGCAGGAACACAAUUAUUGAGUGGAACAAUGGGUGUAAAAGAGUAUGUGCAGAGUGAAUUUGAUAACGUAGAAGCUCAAAUUAGAAGCACAAAUACGGUCCUUUUUCCAAUUUUUGGAAGCAGCGGUUCUACUGCUGCUCCUGCGAUGACCGAGGAUAGGCUGCAACUCUAGAUACAGAGAAAGCGAGUACAUCUAUAUAAUCUUCGAUUCUUCUUUUUGUUUGUGAUGCUGCUACAUUUUUCUUAAGCAGGGCUUGCCACUUUGUUGCAGUUGUGAGUUCUUUUAGUUUCCUUUUUACAGACAACUUGGAGCUCAAUUCUUAAAUUCCAAGGCCAUCGAGCAGGACAUGGAUCAUAUACUAGGAGUUUUAGUUAUGUGUGCAUCUAAUGUGGGCAAACCACAUGGGCACAUUCUUUUAUUUCGCUGGUGCAAAACCUAUGAAGUUUUCCUUGUCAGCUAAUUUAAUGUGCUUACCUCUGCAUUAGACAGCUAGCUAUUAUGAUUAUACACUACGUUUCCUAUGUUAUGUGCUUGGUUUUCCUCUUUUGCUCACUCCUUCCAUUGUUGGUGAAGGAUAGGUCAGUCCAUAGUUCAUCGUUUGGCUUGCUUCUCGCUAAGCUCUUUCUUCCUUGUCUCCUGUUCGGUAAAAUGUCUGAGAGCUGACAUAGUUUUGUUUCUCGUUUCCUUGCCUGUCCAGGUUCUUUGUUGGUUCGUUGGCAGUUCCUAAUUUUUUUCCUGUAGCCGGUUGAGGGAUUCCACCAUUAGCAUAAAGAUCAAGGCAGCGGGCGGUGGCUGUGGAAAGCAGGGGUUCCACAAUUGGCUACAUCGUCUCAAGGAGAAGAAUUCUUACAUGAUCCCUAUAACUGCUCGUUUUGUUGAUGUCUUCGCCCUAUGUGUCCAGGUUCUCAACUUCAGUCCUUCACAAUGCAAUGUGUCCAGGAUCUAAGAAUGGACAUAUAACACUUCUUAUAAUUCAGACCAUGCUUGCCAAUAAAGUUGAAUGUGCUGGAGCAAUAGUUCUAAAACUUCAUUAAGUCGAAGUAGGCAACAUUUUUUCUUAGUGGCCUUCUUUCUCCGUGGUAUCUCAAAUGCAAGCAAGCAUGCCUUUGCUAAGGGUUAGAAGAAGCCAAUGAAAAUUUGUGCAAAUGAUGGCUCUAAGGGUUAGAAGAAGCCAAGGAGCAUGUGAUAGGCUUUUUUGAUAGUUUAUCAGAAGAAAGUGUAGAAGAAAAUGGAGAGGAUGAUGAAGUGACUCAAAUAGAAGUACGAAAUAUCUGCGUCAGCAAGCUAGGUUGUCAUUGGUUGGUUGAUUCAACAACAUUUUGGUGCCUUGCAAUAUGAUUUUCACAAUCGUAUCAGUGCAAGCUCAUAGGUACCA